rnacentral:rRNA from 1 species
GAUGAACGCUGGCGGCGUGCCUAAUACAUGCAAGUCGAGCGAACAGACGAGGAGCUUGCUCCUCUGACGUUAGCGGCGGACGGGUGAGUAACACGUGGAUAACCUACCUAUAAGACUGGGAUAACUUCGGGAAACCGGAUCUAAUACCGGAUAAUAUAUUGAACCGCAUGGUUCAAUAGUGAAAGACGGUUUUGCUGUCACUUAUAGAUGGAUCCGCGCCGCAUUAGCUAGUUGGUAAGGUAACGGCUUACCAAGGCAACGAUGCGUAGCCGACCUGAGAGGGUGAUCGGCCACACUGGAACUGAGACACGGUCCAGACUCCUACGGGAGGCAGCAGUAGGGAAUCUUACGCAAUGGGCGAAAGCCUGACGGAGCAACGCCGCGUGAGUGAUGAAGGUCUUCGGAUCGUAAAGCUCUGUUAUUAGGGAAGAACAAAUGUGUAAGUAACUAUGCACGUAUUGACGGUACCUAAUCAGAAAGCCACGGCUAACUACGUG